UAGGGGGAGGGGCGGGGCCUCGAGGCCCGCUCUGCCCAUUGGCCUGGGUCGCCCGGGACCGCUUUCUAACAUCCCAGCGCCGCGCGGGUACAAGUGCGUGGGCUCGCAGCUGUCUGCCGCGGCAGCCCCGGGUGAGCAUGGGCUUGGGACCUACUGAGCAGCGGGACCUGGCGGCUGGCGUUCUGGUGUGGGGCCGAGAAUAAACCCUUCUUCUGAAAAGCCACUGGCCCGUUGUUAAAUGAAGUUGGCGGCAUAGAGACAUUUAAGACUCUGGAGGGGAAACACCGCAUGAGGGAAACUAUUAUCACCACGAGGAGAACAGCAGUAAACUGAGGCAGGAGUACAGUGCUGUGAUCUCAGCUCACUGCAACCAGCGCCUCCCAGGUUCAAGUAUUUCUCUGCUUCAGCCUCCUGAGUAGCUGAGACUACAGGUGCAUGCUACCACACCCAGCUAAUUUUCAUAUUUUUAGUAGAGAUGGGGUUUUACCUUGUUGGCCAGAUGGUCUCAAUCUUUGACCUUGUGAUCCACCCACAUCGGUCUUCCAAAGUGCUGGGAUUACAGGUGUGAGCCACGGCACCCAGCCCAAUCAGCUUUAUUUCAAGUUCUUCAAUAGGUGUACAGUUCCAGAAGUCUACAGGAGCUCUUUUGUGGUGAGAAAUGCAGAUCCAAGAUUCAAGGCCUUGAAGUUUGUUGCAGAAAAGAACUUGGUAUGGUCCCUUUCAACCGAGUUCAAGUAAUGUGACUUCUCUGGUGUUAUUUCCAAAAUACCCCAUCUCCAGGUUCUAUAUUAUGAAACAUUUCUUUGUCAUCAGUUGAUGGGUCAUGAAGGACUUCUUUCACCUGGUAAAAAUAUGCUUUGGCAGAUGCAUUCAGUAGAAGAUACAUGAGACUUUAUUAUUAGGGGUAUAAGCCUUCCAGUAACUAUUUUAUAAGGGAUCAAUUUAUGUUUUCCAGUGGGAAUGAUCUUAUUGCCCUCAACCAAACUGACCAAGGCAACCUAAUCAAUUCAAUUAGCUUUUCUUAUACUGUUAUAUUUAUAAUACCUAUUUAACUGUUUGACAACUUGUCUAGUGAAACGAGUACCUCUGUUGCUGGAAAUUUCUCCAGCAGUGCUCCAUAAGGGAAACACGUUUUUCAGUAACCUUUUAGCAUUGGCCUUCCGGCAUUGGAACUCUUCUAUAUAACCAGAAAACAUGUAUUUAAAGUAGAAAUUGAAUGAAAGCCAUUUGUAAGUGUUCAGGAACUGUAUCAUUUGAAGUUUUUAUUGUCUUGCCACAAUUAUGGGUUUGACAAACCAAGCAUUAACUGUUUUAGCAAUUUUGUAACAGUCACUCCACUGAUCUUUUUUUCAUAAUUUGAAUCAUUUUAUCUCCUCCAUAAUGAAUUAUAGAAUGCAGAGCUUUUAAUAUUGAAAGAUUUAAGACUCCAGAAGAACCAAGCAGCCAUCCAAGUUCUUCCUGCAUUCAGACUUAACACCGGAUUUACAUUCUCUUAAAUACCAACUUUGUCUCUCCAGUUCAGGUGCUUAUAGCACUGUUUAUUAAAUAUGUUUUAUCAAAUGUAAUUUGACUUGGAUCAAUAUUAUAGAGUUAAUUCAAAUUGUAAAUCUUAAUUUCAGUACUGGCUUAAUCAGCACAAAAUUCUGCCCAGGUAAUCUCCUUGUUAUUAUUUCUUGUUCUGCAUGAUAUUAGGUUAGCAAUUUUAUGAAUCGGUCAAUUUCUUCAUUAGAGUCCUGGAAAUUCUUACCCAAUCCAAUGGUAUGACUUUAAAGUUAGCAGAAACCUAUACUUCUCAGAGUUUUUCCAUGAAUCUCCUUAAAGACGAACAGUUUAGGCUUACGGUUUUUCAGGAAAGUGUCAGAAUAAACAAUUAUCUGUGAAUGACAAGUCUUAAAAUGGCCAUGACUUUAAAGUUCUGGUAAGAGUUCAUUACGAUAGUGACAAGAAAACUCAGUUACUUCUAUUGUAGUCAAUAUUUUAAGACAAUAACUAGAAUUAUGACUGAUAGCUUUAUAGCAGGACUAUUAGAUUUCUAUGAAUUUUACACAAUUUCUGAGAUAGAGUUUCACUCUUGUUACCCAGGCUGGAAUGCAAUGGUGCAAUCUCAGUUCACUGCAACCUCCCCCUCCUGGGUUCAGGAAAUUCUCCUGCCUCGGCCUCCUGAGUAGCUGGGAUUACAGGCACGCGCCACCAUGCCCAGCUAAUUUUUAUAUUUUUAGUAGAGACGGGGUUUUACCAAGUUGACCAGGAUGGUCUUGAUCUCUUGACCUCGUGAUCCACCUGCCUCAGCCUCCCAAAGUGCUGGGAUUACAGGCUUGAGCCACUGCACCCAGCCCUUCUGAAAUUCAUAUUAAUAACACAUUCAUAUAAAUAUAAUUCCAAAAAAUUUAAUAUUAUUUGAUAAUGCUUCCCAUAUGAUUUAAUAUAUCAGAUCAGCUCAAGUAGUUUAAUAUGUCUCUUUCUAUAAGGAGAGAUAUUCUUUUGAGAUUUUCUAAAGGCGCAUAUGGAAAAUCUCAAAGUUAAGACUUAAUUUAGAGUUUUAUUUUGGAAAGUUUAUCAAAAAUAUUAAAGGUUUAAAACAUUUUAUCAAAAAAAUUCACAGGUCACUGUGAACAAUAGUUGUUCAUUUAAUCAAAGUGAUAAUUUAAAGACUUCAAAGGCAAAUACAGAAAGUUGCAUAGUUGUAACUUACAUCUUUUAAUAAAGGGGACUUGGUUUUCAUAAGUGAUCAAAAACCUGAUAAACACAAUGUGAAGCACCAGAAAUUAUCUUGGUAAAAUACAGAAUCUUUGCUUCCUAGGCCAAUUAUAUAAAAAGUAAAGGAAACCUUUUUAAAAUUUCCUCUCAAGAGCAGGCCAAUAAUUCAAGAAAACCUUAUUGUUUUAACAGAGAGGACUACAUUCUAGUUUUGCAUCAGCGUAUGUUUGAUAUUAAUACUCAACUUUUGGAGAAACUCAUAAUUAAUUUUUUUCUAAUAUUAGCCAGCUUAAUCACACGUAAAAUUCCAUUCAUAAGAUUCAUCUUCCAGAAAACUUCUGUAACUUCCUUAUCUGUUCAAUUUUUCUCCUAUACGUUUUCUCUUCAUAUUUUGGAACAACUAGUCAUUCUACUUGAUGAUAAAAGCUAUUCUUUUUUUUCCCUUAACAAAAAAAUUCUUAUACCUUAUAACUUUUUCUUACCCAAGAAGCACAUCUUAACUUCCUUAUAUACUUGCAUAUAGAGUUUUUCUCUAUUUCUAAUAAUUCUAUAUAUUAAAUAAAAUAUGUUAAUUAGAAUUCUUUUUUUUUUUUUUAGAUGGAGUCUUGCUCUGUUGCCCAGGCUGGAGUGCAGUGGCGUAAUCUUAGCUCACUGCAACUUCCACCUCCCAGGUUCAAACGAUUCUCCUGUCUCAGCCUCCCAUGUAGCUGGGACUACAGGCACCCACCACCACACCAGGCUAAUUUUUGUAUUUUUAGUAGAGACGAGGUUUCACCAUAUUAUUGGCCAGACUGGUCUUGAACUUCUGACCUCAUGAUCUGCCCAUCUCUGCCUCCCAAAGUGCUGUGAUUACAGGCUUGAGCUACUGUGACGGGCCAGUUAGAAUUCUUAAUCCUUAGUGACCUUAAUUGCCUAUAAAUACUAGGAAGCAAGCAAUUGUGAACUGUCACAUCACUCAUCUGUACCUUGGCAAAUCUAUGAAUCAUUACUUCCAGGAAAAUGUGCUGUCUUAUAGUACAAUUUGACUGUGCCCCAGAACAUGUUUGUUAACAAUUACAAAUAUCUUUGGUCUGUCAGUAAUAAAAAACUGUAGAGGAGACAAAAUUUCAUCUCUACCCUCUUAGGUUUUCUUUUUUCAUGGCUAAGCCUGAGAAUUAAAUUGUUUGUAUAGAUUUCCUUCAACUUCAGUUUUCCAUCUUAAGGAUAAGAAUCUUAAAACCUUCUAGUAUAGGAAGGACUCCUAUAUGGGAAGUUUUCUUACAUCUGUUUAACUCACUUAUUUUUAACAAUUAUGCUUAGAUUGCUUAUAAAGAUGAAACAGUAACAGCUAGUCAUCAUCUAAGUUAUUUCUCUUGCUGACAUAUCUUGUAAUCCAGAGAUAACAUAAGUUCAUUUUACCAGUUACAUAUUCAGAGUUUUAAGCAUUAAAUAUAUUACAGACAUGUAACUUUUCCUACAGUAGGACAAUGGAAUCAACAAUAUUCUUAUUUACCAAGAUCACCCAAGUAAUGUGAACUUGAAAGGAUUUGAGCUCUUAAUUUUCUGAGUGAAUACUUUAUUUAUAUUAGGACUUAUUUUUUAAAAAGCCAAAGAAAUAAAGCUUUUUUUCAGUUUAAUUUGCCAAUAUUAUAAGGAGAUAUAAAAAUAUCGCAUAUAUGUAUCUUACCUACACAUCUGUCCAUAAACAGAUAAACAGACACAAGUCUUCUAUAGCUUUUAUUUAAAAAAUUUAGCCAUUUGCUAGGCACAAUAAUAUAAAACUCACUAAUUCAUUUAAAAAUAUCUGAACCAAAAUUGCUUUCCUGGCCAGUAGAAUAAGAUUUCCUGCCCCCAUGGGUAAAGCUUUAAAUUAUAUUUGUGGAAAAGAUAUUUAAGAUUUUUUUCAUUUGCUUUCUGUAAGGAACCUUAUAAAGAGACAAUCUUUGCUUUAUUUAAUAUUUUAGAUGCCUCUACAUACCAAUUGUAAAAUGUAUCCCAUUGCUUUUUGGCAUUUUGUAUUCUUUUUUUAAUGUCCCCACAAGUGAACAAUUUUAUGUAUGUUAAAAUUUCCCCAUUAUAACAACUAUAAUUCUAAGUUGUCCUGUUAAGGGACAUUUUUUUAAAAAACACUGGGCCCAUAAUUUUUGUGCACAAAGUUAGCUGGUGUACCAAAAAGUGGAGUCCCAGAUUCUUGGAAUCCCAGACAUUUGUUGUUGUUGUUGUUGUUAUUGUUGUUGAUGAGAUGGAGUUUCACUCUGUCACUCAGACUGGAGUGCAGUGGUGUGAUCUUGGCUCACUGCUAUCUCUGCCUCCUGAGUUCAAGUGAUUCUCCUGCCUUAGCCUCCCAAGUAGCUGGGAUUACAGGUGCCUGCCACCACACCUUAGUAAAGAUAGGGUUUCACCAUGUUGACCAGGCUGGUCUUAAACUCCUGACCUCAGGUGAUCCGCACACCUUGGCCUCCCAAAGUGUGAGCCACUGUGCCCAGCUAGAAUACCAGACUUUUUAAAUUUGGAGAAACCCAUUUUCAAAAGAUACCAACCUCAGGCCUCUGACUGGAUCCAAUCCAGUUACUUAGAUCCAAUCAGAUCCCAGACCCAGUUCAGGAAAACUCCUCAAACUCAGAGAGGUCAAAACAAAAAUUCAUAGAGCUUGAAUUUAAGAGAGAAUGCUGCCAUGAUCCCAGUUGCCGUGAGAGAUCAGUGGGCACAUGAUCCCUGGUGAGUAUCUUCACUUGGUCAUACAGUGCUCCUUUGUGUCCCUGGAGGUCUACUUUGGGUCCUACUUUUGAUACCAAUCUAUUAAAAUAAAUACUUUAGACAAAUUAAAUAUUAGUAGAGUUUAUUUGAACAAAGAAAGUGCAUGAAUUGGGUAGCACCUUGAACCAGUAACAGUUCAGAGAGCUUCACCCAGCAAUAGUGGAUAGGCAGUAUUUAUAGACAGAAAAAGAAAGUGACAUAAAGAAAUAACUUGGUUACAACUCUUUAUCUGCCUUAUUUUGUCAUGGUCUGAGCAGUGGUAGCUUGUAAUUGGCUGAAAUCUCAGUUGGUAUGAUUGGCUGAGACAUGGCUACUUGUUAUAAGAAUAUACUCUCAAGUUAGAUUGUAGUGUGUUUACAUAUUAACAUAGGUUAAAGUUUGCUGUGUAUGGAGAACUUUAGGCCACAUUUAAUUUAACAAUAUAUAAUAAAGACCCACAAACAUCAAACAAGUCCUUCCCCUACUAGAAGUAACUGUCAUAGUGGGUCCUGUGCUCCCUUUUUCUUUUUUUGCUUUGAUCUCAUCUUUAUAUCUAAUUCUGUAAAAAAAACAUUCAGAAAGCACUGUUGUUGAGCACCCUUGUUAGACUUAGGAGAUCACUACGGGCAGAAGAGAAAGUGUUAGAUUCAAGUAAUUAAAGUCCAUUACAUGCUAGACUGUAGCAAAUGCAAAAACUUAUAGUAUAUAAAUGUAAAAGGAAGAUUACACAGACAAACUUAGUAACUUGAAGCAUGAGUCAAUUUAUGAAGAAAGAGAAUUUGCUUCAGCGGAAGCAACAAAUUCAAAGGCAGAAGCAUGAGAAAAUGCAACAGGUAAAGUGAGCGAGGAAUUAGGUGUGGUUAGAAAUGAAGCUAGGAUGGUAGGUUGGGAGGAUGAUUAGGUGGGUUUUAACUUUUAGAUCUCAUUUAUAACAUAUAAAGUUAUAAAUUUUAUAAAAUUUAUAAAUUGUAUAAUGUUAUAAAAUUUAUAUAUAUAUAUAAUUUAUAUCUAUAUAUAUAUAUAUAUAUAUGCCAAAGACAGUCUAAUUACAGUGUUGUCAUAUAUGUUUUUU